CAAUAGCGUAUAUUAAAGUUGUUGCAGUUAAAAAGCUCGUAGUUGGAUUUCUGGUUGAAGCGACCGGUCGGGCGUUGAUUCGUCUGCACUGGAGUCGGUUUUGGCCAUCCUCUAGGAAAGUGCGUCUGGUAUUAAGUUAUCGGGCGUAUGAUCCUGGUCUUUUACUGUGAAAAAAUUAGAGUGUUUAAAGCAGGCCUUCGCCUUGAAUACAUUAGCAUGGAAUAAUAAGAUAGGACUUUGGUCUAUUUUGUUGGUUGAGCCUAAAGUAAUGAUUAAUAGGGAUAGUUGGGGGCACCUGUAUUGCGUUGUCAGAGGUGAAAUUCUUGGAUUUACGCAAGACAAACAGCUGCGAAAGCGUCUGCCAAGGAUGUUUNCAUUAA
rnacentral:rRNA from 1 species